rnacentral:lncRNA from 1 species
UUAUAAUGGCCAUGACAUAAUUUGUUUGGACACUGCUUGUCUUGUCUUAUUCCUUUUGUUCUUUAGCCCUUUUAUCAAUUGGUCUGUCCUUUGGUGAAUUUGUUUUUAUUUCGGGGUAUUUUCAAUGGAGGGCUCUAAGUAGGGUAGAGAGAGAAGCUCAUCCUUCUCUAUAGGAACCCCCCCCUCUGUCCUUACCGUCCCUUUCUCUUCCCCG